rnacentral:rRNA from 1 species
CACGUACUAUCAGAGUUUGAUCCUGGCUCAGGAUGAACGCUAGCGACAGGCCUAACACAUGCAAGUCGAGGGGCAGCGAGGAUGUAGCAAUACAUUUGUCGGCGACCGGCGCACGGGUGAGUAACGCGUAUGCAACCUACCCGACACAGGGGGAUAACCCGGAGAAAUUCGGACUAAUACCGCAUAAAACAGGGGUCCCGCAUGGGAAUAUUUGUUAAAGAAUUAUCGGUGUCGGAUGGGCAUGCGUUCCAUUAGCUAGUUGGUGAGGUAACGGCUCACCAAGGCCACGAUGGAUAGGGGUUCUGAGAGGAAGGUCCCCCACAUUGGUACUGAGACACGGACCAA